AUGACGAUGAGGGAAAAGCGGUGAUGGCAGCUGAUGGUCGUUUCACCGGUCUUAGUCGGUUCGCCGCGGUGGAUGGCGGUGGCGAUAGGUUCGCCGGACGGAGAGAUAGAGAAAGAAAGGGGUGCCAUUGGUGGUUCACCUACGACUAAUUUAGCCGGUGGAGGCUCGCCGGAGAAAGGGUGUUGAACGGUAGUGGUUGGCUGGCCUUUAGAGAGAAAAA
rnacentral:lncRNA from 1 species